CACGGGUGAGUAACGCAUAUCCAACCUGCCGUCUACUCUUGGACAGCCUUCUGAAAGGAAGAUUAAUACAAGAUGGCAUCAUGAGUCCGCAUGUUCACAUGAUUAAAGGUAUUCCGGUAGACGAUGGGGAUGCGUUCCAUUAGAUAGUAGGCGGGGUAACGGCCCACCUAGUCUUCGAUGGAUAGGGGUUCUGAGAGGAAGGUCCCCCACAUUGGAACUGAGACACGGUCCAA
rnacentral:rRNA from 1 species